AUUUUGAGCCGAUGGUGAGCCGUGCCUGAGCCGCCGCUGAGAAAAUGAGCCGACAUCACUUCAGAGGAGGCCCCCGCUACACCUGGGGCCCCCCGGCUGGAUCUCACCGCUUAGCACUCCUCUGUAGGAGUUACUGUACAAAAAAAUAGCAAAAGUCAACAGGCUGCCUCUGCUGCUGACAGGUGGAGUAGGAGAAGGACUAAGACACAUGAGGGAGGAGCAGAGCCAAUGCCGGGUGGGGGAGAGUGACAUGUCAACUCUAGACGUCAUCCAUCUUGAAUCAGUACAAAGCUGUGCAGAACUUUCCUCACUCUUCACUGGAUGCAGCUGUGUCAAAUUCUGGCUCCGUCACGACUGUCACCACUGCCACCACUGACAACAUCCACUGGGCCAUGAUUGAUUUUCUUUGCUCUACUAUGAAACACUGAAUUCACCUUUGAAUGUAAAUUAAUCUAUAGAUGCAGUUCAUUUGAUACUGAUACUUUUUCUAAAGACAUUUUUUUGUGGUUCGUGUAGCGCAAUACUGUCUACACUCAAUGAAGGUGAAUGAAACUGCAUUUGUGUCACUCACAGCACAAGAAAAUUACAUUUUAAAAGAAAAUGCUAGAAACAAUGUCCCUGUUAUUCUGGAUAAUUCAUCAACCUCCUUACGAAUUCAUCGUUGGUUUUAGUCUUUUCAUGGGAUAUGCUGACAAUCACAAGAAUAUCACUAGAUGUAUACUUUUACUUAUUGUUUAACUUGUAAUCCACGGGCCAUUUCCUUUCAACGAUGCUCCUGUGUAAUAAUUGUAUGUGUGUAAGUGCUACGGAUAAGUGUACUGACUUCCUCUGAAAGCUGUUACCCUCUCUCUUUCUGCUUCUGCUCGUAACCAGUCAUCCAUUUUUGAUGCUGAAAAUGUUGAAAAAUUAAAGUACAGGCAACAAAAC